rnacentral:rRNA from 1 species
AGUGAACGCUGGCGGUAGGCCUAACACAUGCAAGUCGAACGGCAGCACAGUAAGAGCUUGCUCUUACGGGUGGCGAGUGGCGGACGGGUGAGGAAUACAUCGGAAUCUACUUUUUCGUGGGGGAUAACGUAGGGAAACUUACGCUAAUACCGCAUACGACCUACGGGUGAAAGCAGGGGAUCUUCGGACCUUGCGCGAUUGAAUGAGCCGAUGUCGGAUUAGCUAGUUGGCGGGGUAAAGGCCCACCAAGGCGACGAUCCGUAGCUGGUCUGAGAGGAUGAUCGGCCGCACUGGAACUGGGACACGGUCCAGGCUCCUACGGGAGGCAGCAGUGGGGAAUAUUGGACAAUGGGCGCAAGCCUGAUCCAGCCAUACCGCGUGGGUGAAGAAGGCCUUCGGGUUGUAAAGCCCUUUUGUUGGGAAAGAAAAGCAGCAGGUUAAUACCCCGCUGUUCUGACGGUACCCAAAGAAUAAGCACCGGCUAACUUCGUG